GAAUUUCUCUUCGAAGUCCUGUUUUAUGCGUCGACCAAUGUCGUAGACAUGUAAUACUAAAUUUACAAUUACUUGCCCAUUUCUGGACCAAAUUCAACAAUUUAUGCACCAAAAUGUUUGGAAUUCUGUCCUCUUUGCACCUAAAUACAAAAAAGUGAAUUGCAAAAAAAAAUUAUUUCCUUUAAGGUAGCUAAACACAGUUUCGUAUAAAAUCCAGGGGGUUUUUCCCAGAGAGAAGCAUGCUGGGUAGGGAUUUUCCUGCUAUUUAUAGGAGUCUAGAUGAAAACUGCAUCUUUUUUGUUUUUAUUCACAUAAAGUAGAAUCUUAUCUUAAUAUUUAAAGAAAAAAAUGUGCAUUCAUUUUUAGAAAAAAAAAAUUAUGAGACUUUUUAAUAGGGGGAGAUAACUCCCAAAACAUCCGGUUUUCACAUGUGCAGAAUUGCAUGAGUCAAUUAGCAGGUAAUGUAGCUCUUUCAAGAGGUGGAAAAUGUACCCUAAAAGCACACUAAAAGAAAACCUUAGGACUUGUUCUGUGAAAUGCAUACAACUUAUUUUGUCUGAUUUUUUCUGUUUUUGUUGAGCAGGGGGGUUAAAAAUGCAUAGGUGCACUGAAAAUGGAUGCAUAAACAACCCAAUAUCCCCCAUAUUUCAGGUGUCAAAUACCCCCUAGUAGUAAUUGAUGAAUGUAUUAUAGUUGGAUAUUUACAAAAUUCACAAUUUUAUCUUUCCAUUGAUAUGCAGAAGUCUAUGUAACAAGCCUCCAUUUUAUUUUUUUAUAGGGGUCAGUUUUGCUUGUCCCUCACCAAGUAACGUCCUGAUAACGUCAUACAUAAAACUGUGUUUUGCACCCUUAAGGAGUAGCAUUUGAUGACAUUUCCCACAUUUAUUUGCAUGGGUCAGUUUUGCUUGUCCCUCACCAAGUAACGUCCUGAUAACGUCAUACAUAAAACUGUGUUUUGCACCCUUAAGGAGUAGCAUUUGAUGACAUUUCCCACAUUUAUUUGCAUGGGUCAGUUUUGCUUGUCCCUCACCAAGUAACGUCCUGAUAACGUCAUACAUAAAACUGUGUUUUGCACCCUUAAGGAGUAGCAUUUGAUGACAUUUCCCACAUUUAUUUGCAUGGGUCAGUUUUGCUUGUCCCUCACCAAGUAACGUCCUGAUAACGUCAUACAUAAAACUGUGUUUUGCACCCUUAAGGAGUAGCAUUUGAUGACAUUUCCCACAUUUAUUUGCAUGUAAGUUCAUAGAAAAUUGCUUUAUUUGUUUUAAUUUAUGUAGUUAACCAUACAAUAUAAUCUCAAGUUGACACUGUGUAAGGCAUAAUGCCUAUUAGAUACAUGUUCCAUAGAAUUUAUACAUAUGAUAAGGAUUCAGGGGCUAAAGUUGUUAUUUUACAUUAUGACGCAACUGCAUUGUGACAUCAAAGUGUGACGUCAUGUCAAAAAUGGAAGCUUCGCAAGGUCAUGACCUUCAAUUUAAUUGAUCGCAAAUGAGAAUAUGUAUCUUCUGUAUAGAUAUACAUGUGACAUAGAACUAUUGAGUAUCUAGUUAGGGUGACACCAUCCAGAUUUUUGAGGCAAUCUUCUGAUUUAAGACAGUGACUAUUUCCAAUUAGACCCCCCCCCCCCCCCCUUGUUUAUACAGAAACUAGCAAUAUCUGUAAAAAUUGUUUGGCAGCUUUUCAAAAAAUUAUAAUGUAACAUUUUAUUGAUAUUCAAAUACUGUAUAUUUCAUACUUUGUGUUUUUUAAAUUGAAGAAAAAUAAAAUUAUUGUGUGAGCUGAUUCGGUUAGGUUUGAAUUUCUCUUCGAAGUCCUGUUUUAUGCGUCGACCGAUGUCGUAGACAUGUAAUACUAAAUUUACAAUUACUUGCCCAUUUCUGGACCAAAUUCAACAAUUUAUGCACCAAAAUGUUUGGAAUUCUGUCCUCUUUGCACCUAAAUACAAAAAAGUGAAUUGCAAAAAAAAAUUAUUUCCUUUAAGGUAGCUAAACACAGUUUCGUAUAAAAUCCAGGGGGUUUUUCCCAGAGAGAAGCAUGCUGGGUAGGGAUUUUCCUGCUAUUUAUAGGAGUCUAGAUGAAAACUGCAUCAUUUUUGUUUUUAUUCACAUAAAGUAGAAUCUUAUCUUAAUAUUUAAAGAAAAAAAUGUGCAUUCAUUUUUAGAAAAAAAAAAUUAUGAGACUUUUUAAUAAGGGGAGAUAACUCCCAAAACAUCCGGUUUUCACAUGUGCAGAAUUGCAUGAGUCAAUUAGCAGGUAAUGUAGCUCUUUCAUGAGGUGGAAAAUGUACCCUGAAAGCACACUAAAAGAAAACCUUAGGACUUGUUCUGUGAAAUGCAUACAACUUAUUUUGUCUGAUUUUUUCUGUUUUUGUUGAGCAGGGGGGUUAAAAAUGCAUAGGUGCACUGAAAAUGGAUGCAUAAACAACCCAAUAUCCCCCAUAUUUCAGGUGUCAAAUACCCCCUAGUAGUAAUUGAUGAAUGUAUUAUAGUUGGAUAUUUACAAAAUUCACAAUUUUAUCUUUCCAUUGAUAUGCAGAAGUCUAUGUAACAAGCCUCCAUUUUAUUUUUUUAUAGGGGUCAGUUUUGCUUGUCCCUCACCAAGUAACGUCCUGAUAACGUCAUACAUAAAACUGUGUUUUGCACCCUUAAGGAGUAGCAUUUGAUGACAUUUCCCACAUUUAUUUGCAUGGGUCAGUUUUGCUUGUCCCUCACCAAGUAACGUCCUGAUAACGUCAUACAUAAAACUGUGUUUUGCACCCUUAAGGAGUAGCAUUUGAUGACAUUUCCCACAUUUAUUUGCAUGUAAGUUCAUAGAAAAUUGCUUUAUUUGUUUUAAUUUAUGUAGUUAACCAUACAAUAUAAUCUCAAGUUGACACUGUGUAAGGCAUAAUGCCUAUUAGAUACAUGUUCCAUAGAAUUUAUACAUAUGAUAAGGAUUCAGGGGCUAAAGUUGUUAUUUUACAUUAUGACGCAACUGCAUUGUGACAUCAAAGUGUGACGUCAUGUCAAAAAUGGAAGCUUCGCAAGGUCAUGACCUUCAAUUUAAUUGAUC